rnacentral:misc_RNA from 1 species
GAUGAAGAACGCAGCGAAAUGCGUUAAGUAAUGUGAAUUGCAGAAUUCAGUGAAUCAUCGAAUCUUUGAACGCACCUUGCGCUCCUUGGUAUUCCGAGGAGCAUGCCUGUUUGAGUGUCAUUAAAUUAUCAAACAUUAUUAGCUUUUUGCUGAUAAUGGAUUGGACUUGGGGGUCUUUUGCUGGCUUAUAAGAGUCAGCUCCCCUUAAAUGUAUUAGCUUGUUCUCCGUGUGGACUUGUCUAUUGGUGUGAUAAUUAUCUACACCGUGGAUGUCUGCUUUAAAAGGGUUGAGCUGCUUCUAAUCGUCUGUUGACUCGGACAAUACAAAUGACAAUUUGACCUCAAAUCAGGUAGGACUACCCGCUGAACUUAAGCAUAUCAAUAAGCGGAGGA